GAUUAAGUUAUUAAGGGCGCACGGUGGAUGCCUUGGCACUAGAAGCCGAUGAAGGACGUUACUAACGACGAUAUGCUUUGGGGAGCUGUAAGUAAGCUUUGAUCCAGAGAUUUCCGAAUGGGGAAACCCAGCAUGAGUUAUGUCAUGUUAUCGAUAUGUGAAUACAUAGCAUAUCAGAAGGCACACCCGGAGAACUGAAACAUCUUAGUACCCGGAGGAAGAGAAAGAAAAUUCGAUUCCCUUAGUAGCGGCGAGCGAAACGGGAAGAGCCCAAACCAACAAGCUUGCUUGUUGGGGUUGUAGGACACUCUAUACGGAGUUACAAAGGACGACAUUAGACGAAUCAUCUGGAAAGAUGAAUCAAAGAAGGUAAUAAUCCUGUAGUCGAAAAUGUUGUCUCUCUUGAGUGGAUCCUGAGUACGACGGAGCACGUGAAAUUCCGUCGGAAUCUGGGAGGACCAUCUCCUAAGGCUAAAUACUCUCUAGUGACCGAUAGUGAACCAGUACCGUGAGGGAAAGGUGAAAAGCACCCCGGAAGGGGAGUGAAAUAGAACCUGAAACCGUGUGCUUACAAGUAGUCAGAGCCCGUUAAUGGGUGAUGGCGUGCCUUUUGUAGAAUGAACCGGCGAGUUACGAUUUGAUGCAAGGUUAAGCAGUAAAUGUGGAGCCGUAGCGAAAGCGAGUCUGAAUAGGGCGUUUAGUAUUUGGUCGUAGACCCGAAACCAGGUGAUCUACCCUUGGUCAGGUUGAAGUUCAGGUAACACUGAAUGGAGGACCGAACCGACUUACGUUGAAAAGUGAGCGGAUGAACUGAGGGUAGCGGAGAAAUUCCAAUCGAACCUGGAGAUAGCUGGUUCUCUCCGAAAUAGCUUUAGGGCUAGCCUCAAGUGAUGAUUAUUGGAGGUAGA
rnacentral:rRNA from 1 species